rnacentral:lncRNA from 1 species
ACUCCUGAACUUGAGAGGACCCUGACUCACAAUUUUCUUGUCAGAAAUCUUGAGAAAAUGCCACUCAAGAUUUUGUCCAAAUUAAGUUGUAAGGAGAUUCAAAUAAGAAACUAUCUGGUUGUUGUUUCAGAUGAUUUAUUAGUUCAUACUAUUUAAUUUGUUAAUAAAGGUGGCACUCUGUUAAAAAUCACAAAUUUCAUGUGAGGCGCAUAUUAGCUCCAUCUGACUAA